rnacentral:lncRNA from 1 species
AAUCCCUGAUAUCUGCUUGGAUCAGUUCAAGUGAAGAAUGAGCUAGCUGUGAAGUCUUUCUAUCUCUCGAGCUAAAUUAUCCAACUAAGGUGAAGAGGUGGUAGAUGUGCUCACUCUUACUGAUAGUGAAACUAAAAUCAGUCUGAUCUCCCUCUCAAUGUCAAAAAUUCUGCCACUGAACCUGAGUAGGGAACCCUCCACACUCUCUAGUCUAGUA